rnacentral:rRNA from 1 species
CUUGAACUAGAUAAGAGGUCCAGCCUGCCCAGUGAAAAUAUUCAACGGCCGCGGUAUCCUAACCGUGCGAAGGUAGCGUAAUCACUUGUUCUUUAAAUGAGGACUAGUAUGAAUGGCACCACGAGGGUUUUACUGUCUUCUUUUUUUAAUCAGUGAAACUAAUCUCCCCGUGAAGAAGCGGGAAUUUAAUUAUAAGACGAGAAGACCCUAUGGAGCUUUAAACAAACAACAUUUGCUGCACAUAACACUUUUACUUUUAAAAAGUAUAGCAUUAUGAUUUUUAGUUUUUGAUUGGGGUGAUCACGGAGCAAAAUGAAACCUCCACGCCGAAAGGGUUGUACCCUGAGCAAAAAGCUACAGCUUUAAGCACUAAAAAAUUAACGCAAUUUGACCCAAUAUUUUGAUCAACGAAC